GGUAACGGGUAACGGGGUGUUAGGGCACGACACCGGAGAGGGAGCCUGAGAAACGGCUACCACAUCCAAGGAAGGCAGCAGGCGCGCAAAUUACCCAAUCCCGACAUGGGGAGGUAGUGACAAUAAAUAACAAUACAGGGUUCUUUUGGAUCUUGUAAUUGGAAUGAGUACAAUUUAAAUCUCUUAACGAGGAACAAUUGGAGGGCAAGUCUGGUGCCAGCAGCCGCGGUAAUUCCAGCUCCAAUAGCGUAUAUUAAAGUUGUUGCAGUUAAAAAGCUCGUAGUUGAAUUUCGGGAUCAAGGGAUCGGUCAUGCCUUGGUAUGUACUGGUUUUAUUGGUUCUCACCUUCUAAAGAACCAUAAUGUCAUUUAUUUGAUGUUAUGGGGAAUUAGGACUGUUACCUUGAAAAAAUUAGAGUGUUUAAAGCAAGCUUACGCUUGAAUACAUUAGCAUGGAAUAAUGAAAUAGGACAUCAGAUUCUAUUUUGUUGGUUUCUAGGAUCGAUGUAAUGAUUAAUAGGGAUAGUUGGGGGCAUUAGUAUUCAAUUGUCAGAGGUGAAACUCUUGGAUUUAUUGAAGACUAACUACUGCGAAAGCAUUUGCCAAGGAUGUUUUCAUUAAUCAAGAACGAAAGUUAGGGGAUCGAAGACGAUCAGAUACCGUCGUAGUCUUAACCAUAAACUAUGCCGACUAGGGAUCGGAUGAUGUUA
rnacentral:rRNA from 1 species